GAUAAACGCUGGCGGCGUGCAUAACACAUGCAAGUCGAACGAUGAAACUUAAAUGAUCUCUUCGGAGUGACUUUAAGUGGAUUAGUGGCGGACGGGUGAGUAACGCGUGAGUAACCUGCCUUGCACAAGGGGAUAGCCGUUGGAAACGACGAAUAAUACCCUAUGAUAUGAUAGUCUCGCAUGAGAUUAUCAUCAAAGAUUUACCGGUGUAAGAUGGACUCGCGUCUGAUUAGCUAGUCGGUGGGGUAACUGCUCACCAAGGCAACGAUCAGUAGCCGGCUUGGGAGAGUGUACGGCCACAUUGGGACUGAGACACGGCCCAGACUCCUACGGGAGGCAGCAGUGGGGAAUUUUGCACAAUGGGGGAAACCCUGAUGCAGCGACGCCGCGUGAUUUAGAAGGCCUUCGGGUUGUAAAAAUCUUUUGUAUGGGAAGAAAAUGACAGUACCAUACGAAUAAGGACCGGCUAAUUACGUGCCAGCCGCCGCAGUAA
rnacentral:rRNA from 1 species